AUUUAUUUGAUGAAUGUAUGAGAAUACUACUUGGAUAACCGUAGUAAUUCUAGAGCUAUUACAUGCAACGACGCCCGACCGUUUCACUACGGAAGGGCUGUAUUUAUUGGAUACCAAAACCAUCCUUCCCUCGGGAAGUUUUGUUUGAUGAUUCACAAUAACUGAUCGGAUCGCCACUGUGGUGGCGACAGGUCAUUCAACAUUCUGCCCUAUCAGCUUUCGAUGGUUGUGUAGUGGACAACCAUGGCCAUAACGGGUAACGGAGAAUCAGGGUUCGAUUCCGGAGAAGGAGCUUGAGAAUUGGCUACUACAUCUAAGGAAGGCAGCAGGCGCGCAAAUUACCCAAUCCCGAUUCGGGGAGGUAGUGACAAAAAAUAACAAUACCGGGCCUUUUUGGGCUUGGUAAUUGGAAUGAGGGAGAGCUAAACGGACCAUCGAGUAUCCAUUGGAGGGCAAGUCUGGUGCCAGCAGCUGCGGUAAUACCAGCUCCAAUAGCGUAUAUUAAAGUUGUUGCAGUUAAAAAGCUCGUAGUUGGACUUGUGUGCGCUGUCCGCGGGUGGCCUGCGCCCAAAAGGGCGUUUCGGUUCGGCCUCGGUGGCGCCUUGAAAUCUGCUGCUGGGGGGACGUUGGCCUUAACUGGUCGGCGACCGCACGCCGGCUGCUCGGUUACUGUGAGAAAAUUAGAGUGUUCAAGGCAGGCAUUGGGUGCAAUUGAAUACAUUAGCAUGGAAUAAUAAAAUAUGGCUCCUGCCGUAUUUUGUUGGUUUUGACUGGUGGGAGUAAUGAUUGAUAGGGACGGUUGGGGGUGCUAGUAUUGAGCGGCCAGAGGUGAAAUUCAUGGAUUCGCUCAAGACUAACUUAUGCGAAAGCAUUCACCAAGGACGUCCUCUUUAAUCAAGAACGAAAGUUGGGGGAUCGAAGACGAUCAGAUACCGUCGUAGUCUCAACCAUAAACUAUGUCGACUUGGGAUCGGCGGUAGUUUUUUCAUUAAGACACUGUCGGGACCACGGGAGAAAUCAAAGUGUCUGGACUCUGGGGGAAGUAUGGUCGCAAGGCUGGAACUUGAAGGAAUUGACGGAAGGGCACCACCAGGAGUGGAGCCUGCGGCUUAAUUUGACCCAACACGGGGAAACUUACCAGGUCCAGAGAUGUAGAGGAUUGACAGAUUGAAGCUCUUUCUUGAUCACUUCGGUGGUGGUGCAUGGCCGUUCUUAGUUGGUGGAGUGAUUUGUCUGGUUAAUUCCGUUAACGAACGAGACCUCAGCCUGCUAGUGUAGUCGGCUGGAUUG
rnacentral:rRNA from 1 species